rnacentral:rRNA from 1 species
GACGAACGCUGGCGGCGUGCUUAACACAUGCAAGUCGAACGGAGUGGCGAACGGGUGAGUAACACGUGGGUGAACUGCCUUGCACUUCGGGAUAAGCUUGGGAAACUGGGUCUAAUACCGGAUAGUGCAAGAUGAGCUCGCAGCCUAUCAGCUUGUUGGCGGGGUAAAGGCCUACCAAGGCGUCGACGGGUAGCCUGCCUGAGAGGGUGUACGGCCACCUUAGGACUGGGAUACGGCCCAGACUCCUACGGCGGGCAGCAGUGGGGAAUAGUGCACAAUGGGCGGAGGCCUGAUGCAGCGACGCCGCGUGGGAGAUGAAGGCCUUCGGGUUGUAAACUCCUUUCGGCAGAAACGCGGUACCUGUAUAAGAAGCACCGGCUAACUACGUGCCAGCAGCCGCGGUAAUAC